CGGAGGGGCUCUGCCCGGGUCCACUGUUGAGGCGCACGGAAGUUGAGGGACGAGGUCUUCCACUCUCCAGCAAGCUGGAGCCGAUUGCCGCGGGUUCCCUGGAGGGUCCUGGCUUGUGCGUGUCAGGACGCCUCUCGGCGACAGCUUAUAAAGGGUUAUGGAGACUGCCGUGAAGUUAAAGUUUACUCUUAUCUUGGAGGUCAGUGACUGCUUCUUGGAUCAGAAGAUGCAUAAAAGGAGAGAUGAGCUUGUCAUAGAGAAAUAAACGUCGGAGAUGGUGUCUUGUGGUAGUUCUGGCUCCAUAAAUUUGUGCAAGGCCCUUGUUUCUGGAGUCACAGUCAUCCAAGAGGGGAAUUGGAUACUCUGGCCUGCCUACUAAUAUGGAUGUCGCAGUCACCAAAGGAAACGACUUGUGUGGAGACGCUCUUUAACGCCGUACAGUAUGCAAGGGGUGCGGAAGUAUGAUUAUUAAUUUCCCUUUCCCUUGACAUGCCUUUUAAAAUAUCGUUUUUGACCUUUGUGCUAAAAUCAAGUGACAUCUCUAUAGAACACCUUAUUGUGAGUGCCACUAGAGGGAUGGAAUGCUCUCAGCACAUCCCUCUACUCCGGUACAGAUUAAUCUCCAUCCCCUGGCAGGAAAUACCACCAGGACAGCCCAUCUCCACUUCUACCCCCAGUCAACGCCAUUCAAGUACAAACCCUCUUCUCCAACUGUGUUCUCACAUAAAAUGAUAAGGCAAAAAAUUAUUCAUUUGAUACUCGAAUUGCUCAAAAAGAUUACAGUUUGAUAACUACCUUUAGAUAGUAAUGUCAUGGCUAAAUGGCUAAAUACAUGCUACCGUAGUUAAGUUCUAUGUACAUACAAUUACAUUACACAUGCAAUGUGUAGGCAUUAACCUUUGCACUCUCCAUGUGUUGUCACGCUUGAUUCUUCUAGCAAUUCCAUACAGCACUGUUAUUGCACCUUCUAGAAUAUAAGUAUGGCUUGAA